AGCGAACAGACGAGGAGCUUGCUCCUCUGACGUUAGCGGCGGACGGGUGAGUAACACGUGGAUAACCUACCUAUAAGACUGGGAUAACUUCGGGAAACCGGAGCUAAUACCGGAUAAUAUAUUGAACCGCAUGGUUCAAUAGUGAAAGACGGUUUUGCUGUCACUUAUAGAUGGAUCCGCGCCGCAUUAGCUAGUUGGUAAGGUAACGGCUUACCAAGGCAACGAUGCGUAGCCGACCUGAGAGGGUGAUCGGCCACACUGGAACUGAGACACGGUCCAGACUCCUACGGGAGGCAGCAGUAGGGAAUCUUCCGCAAUGGGCGAAAGCCUGACGGAGCAACGCCGCGUGAGUGAUGAAGGUCUUCGGAUCGUAAAACUCUGUUAUUAGGGAAGAACAAAUGUGUAAGUAACUAUGCACGUCUUGACGGUACCUAAUCAGAAAGCCACGGCUAACUACGUGCCAGCAGCCGCGGUAAUACGUAGGUGGCAAGCGUUAUCCGGAAUUAUUGGGCGUAAAGCGCGCGUAGGCGGUUUUUUAGGUCUGAUGUGAAAGCCCACGGCUCAACCGUGGAGGGUCAUUGGAAACUGGAAAACUUGAGUGCAGAAGAGGAAAGUGGAAUUCCAUGUGUAGCGGUGAAAUGCGCAGAGAUAUGGAGGAACACCAGUGGCGAAGGCGACUUUCUGGUCUGUAACUGACGCUGAUGUGCGAAAGCGUGGGGAUCAAACAGGAUUAGAUACCCUGGU
rnacentral:rRNA from 1 species